GGAAAAAGCAAAAGCAAAAACCAAAACACCUCUCUAACAAAUGAGAGAGGUGCUACUUUUACCUGCCUCUGUUCAAUAGAAGAGGAAACAGUAUAGAAUAGGCUUUUCUACUGUUCUUGAUCAUGGGCAGUUGCAGUAUUUUGGAAAUACUGGGUAUAAGCGGAUAGCUGCGUGAAAUACUGCAGAAUUACAGCCACCAUGUGAUUGGCUGGAAUGCUGUCUGGUCCCGUAACUGCCUGACUUACAGCGUGAUGCCUGACUGCCCUAUGAAGGUCAUGUUGAGCAAAAUGAGCUUGAAAGCUGCCGUGUUUUAGAAAAAUGUCACUCUUUCCUUUUGAAAUAUUUAUAAUUUAGAUGCUAGGAACUUGCUUUGGUUUCAGCAGAAUCUGAUGAUAUAAAUGCCUUCUGUGUUACAGGUACAGAAAGUAGCAUCUAGAAGACCCAGUCGUGCGUAGGAAGCCCAUUGUGUUAAUAGGUGAAGGCACAGAAAACGAACUGAUGUUUGGUGCUGUUGAGAAUCCAGACUGUGAAAGGAUUUGGAAUCCCUGUUGUCAUAAUUCCUUGAGUGUAUGAAGCUCAUGUUGCCUGGGAGAAGAGAGACUGUAAUCCCCUCCUUGCUCUUCCAAUUUACAGCCCAGAAGAUUACUCCUCAACUUUUUAUCCUUAGGGUCAAAAUUUACUAUAUUUUAAAGCAGUUCAGAAAAUCAAACUUCCAGUAAAAAGGAAUAUGUUAAAUUCAUUUAUUUUACAGUUUAUAAAAAAUUUGAAACAUAAGAUGGCUAUUUACACUCUUUGUUCUAUAUUUGAUAUACAAUUUUUAGAUCCUAGAAUGACAGUGUUUUAUUAGAAAAUAACAUCCUGGUUUUCUAUUGUAUUGAAGGUGCAUGCAGCCCUAAAGGGCUUCCACCCAGAAUGGCAAGCUGCUGGUCAGAUAUGGAAUUACUUGGUUUCUUAGUAACGAGCAGGAAAUAUAUAUGAGGGAUGUUUCAAUUUAGGGUCCAUUUAAAACAAUAUUAAUUCUGACAUGUAUUUACAGGCAAAUGAAAUUUCUACUUAAAGCUUUCUGUCUAUCUUAGGAUUGUUAUAUUCAGGAGGAUACUAAUAAGCUGAAGCAAACUUGCAGCACAGCAACAAACGUGAUUAUGAGAUCAUAUAGAAGGGUGCUCUAGAAGCAUAUAUUUAAGGUUUUGUCUGUAGGUCAUGGUUUCUGAUGAUCGGAUUGUGUCUGGGUCUAAGGUCCUGCCCAAGCCGCAGUUGUUGUGCUAUGGGACGAUUUUCAACUCUCCACUCCAUUUGAGCGGAUAAACCUUGGGAUGUCAGUCACACUACUUUCAACCUGUCCUAAUAACAAAUCCAGAAACUUGAGAGAGAAAACAAGGAAGAUGAGAACAGACCUGUGGUGGAGAACAAAGGUACAUGAUUGACACCCUGUGAGAUGCUUCUGUUUCUGUUGUUCCCUGUGGAAUUUUGAUGGAGAAGCUCUACUGAAUCGAGAUUCUAGAGAAGGAAUUGUGACAUCUUCAUUUUGCUUCUGAUCUUCUUUAUUUUUUUAUUUUUUUUGUCUAUGCAGACUACCUUAAAUAAAUAAGUUACAUUGAUACUUUAAUUCAGUGCUUGCAACAGAGUAGUUCAUGUGUUAGUUUGGCUCAUAAGCAAAUCUGUCUCUUCUCCUUGUGGCAUAUUUUUACUUUUUUUUUUUUCUUUUUUCAUU